UGUGAAGGAAAGGUGAAAAGGACCCCGGGAGGGGAGUGAAAGAGAACCUGAAACCCUGUGUUUACAAGCUGUGGAAGUUCUUUAAAUGAACAACCGCGUACUUUUUGUAGAACGGUCCGGCGAGUUGCGGAUACUGGCAAGGUUAAGCACUUAAGGUGCGGAGCCGAAGGGAUACCAAGUCUUAACAGGGCGUUAAGUCAGUGUACGCAGACCCGAAACCGGGUGAUCUAUCCAUGUCCAGGUUGAAGUUGUCGUAAAAGACAAUGGAGGACCGAAGCCACAUCCGUUGAAAAGGGUGGGCAUGAGGUGUGGAUAGGGGAGAAAUUCCAAUCGAACCCGGAGAUAGCUGGUUCUCCUCGAAAUAGCUUUAGGGCUAGCCUCGAUUUAGUCUUAUGGAGGUAGAGCACUGAAUUUCCGCGGGGGCGUCAAAGCUUACCAAAGAAUAUCAAACUCCGAAUGCCAUGUAGAUGAUGAUCGGGAGUCAGACUGCACGAGAUAAGUUGGGCAGUCAAAAGGGAAAGAGCCCAGACCACCGGCUAAGGUCCCAAAGUGCGUGUUAAGUGGAAAAGGAUGUGGGAAUUCGAAGACAACUAGGAUGUUGGCUCAGAAGCAGCCAUACAUUCAAAGAGUGCGUAACAGCUCACUAGUCGAGAGUUCCUGCGCCGAAAAUGUCCGGGGCUGAAACACGACACCGAAGCCGUGGACUCGCAAUGCGAGUGGUAGAGGAGCAUUCUUAAAACCGACGAAGCUGUACCGGAAGGAGCAGUGGAGGGAUAAGAAGAGAGAAUGCCGGAAUGAGUAGCGAGAGAAAGGUGGGAAUCCUUUCGGCCGAAUAUCUAAGGUUUCCAGAGUAAAGCUGAUCUGCUCUGGGUAAGUCGGGGCCUAAGCACAGGUCGCAAGACGUAAGCGAUGGAUAACAGGUUUAGAUUCCUGUACCACGCAUUAUCAGAACUGUAGGGACGCAUGUGGAAAGCACGGGCCGGGAAUGGAAAAACCGGUACAAGCGGGGUAGGUGUACAAUAGGCAAAUCCGUUGUAUAAUCCGAAGACGUGAUGUGGAGCGAAAUAAAGUAGUGAAGCGUGUGAGCCAUGUGCCGAGAAAAGCUGCUAUUGUGUAAUGCGUGCCCGUACCGUAAACCGACACAGGUGGAUGAGGAGAGAAUCCUAAGGCCGACGGAAGAAGCAUUGUUAAGGAAUUCGGCAAAAUGACCCCGUAACUUCGGGAGAAGGGGUGCCUGCGAGAGCAGGCCGCAGAGAAUAGGCUCAAGCAACUGUUUAGCAAAAACACAGGUCUAUGCGAAACCGAAAGGUGAAGUAUAUGGGCUGACGCCUGCCCGGUGCUGGAAGGUUAAGAGGAGAGGUUAGCGUAAGCGAAGCUUUGAAUUUAAGCCCCAGUAAACGGCGGCCGUAACUAUAACGGUCCUAAGGUAGCGAAAUUCCUUGUCGGGU
rnacentral:rRNA from 1 species